rnacentral:rRNA from 1 species
UACGAGAGGCCCAAACAUUAUUCGGAAUUACUGGGCUUAAAGAGUUCGUAGGCGGCAUGGUAAGUAGGGUGUGAAAUCCCUCGGCUCAACCGAGGAAUUGCGCUCUAAACUACCGUGCUCGAGGAAGCUAGAGGUGAGCGGAACUGAUGGUGGAGCGGUGAAAUGCGUUGAUAUCAUCAGGAACACCGGAGGCGAAGGCGGCUCACUGGGGCUUUUCUGACGCUGAGGAACGAAAGCCAGGGUAGCGGAACGGG